rnacentral:tRNA from 1 species
GUUUUUAUAGUGUAUGUAAACAUCUUACUUUUUCGUAGUAAAGCUGAAAUAAUAAUUUCUAAAAACA